rnacentral:rRNA from 1 species
CCUACGGGGGGCAGCAGUGAGGAAUAUUGGUCAAUGGUCGCGAGCCUGAACCAGCCAAGUAGCGUGAAGGAUGACUGCCCUACGUGUUGUAACCUUCUUUUAUAAGGGAAUAAAGUGAGGCACGCGUGCCUUUUUGUAUGUACUUUAUGAAUAAGGAUCGGCUAACUCCGUGCCAGCAGCCGCGGUAAUACGGAGGAUCCGAGCGUUAUCCGGAUUUAUUGGGUUUAAAGGGAGCGUAGAUGGGUUGUUAAGUCAGUUGUGAAAGUUUGCAGCGAAACCCUAACAUUGCAAUUGAUACUGGCAGUCUUGAGUACAGUUGAGGUAUGCGGAAUUCGGGGUGUAGCGGUGAAAUGCUUAGAUAUCACGAAGAACUCCGAUGGCGAAGGCAGCUUACUAAACUGCCACUGACAUUGAUGCUCGAAAGUGUGGGUAUCAAACAGGAUUAGAUACCCUUGUAGUC